ACCUUCAAGGAAUAGAAAAAAUCAUGACACAAAAGUACGUACUUUUCAUCAAUAAACAUCUCCACAGCUUUCUCAUUUGCUGCACUAAGAACCCCAGUCAUGGUGCCUCCAGCUCGUCCAGCAGCAUAGGCAAGAUUCAUAGAUGGGUAUUU